UACGAAGGGGGCUAGCGUUGCUCGGAAUUACUGGGCGUAAAGGGCGCGUAGGCGGACAGUUUAGUCAGAGGUGAAAGCCCAGGGCUCAACCUUGGAAUUGCCUUCGAUACUGAUUGGCUUGAGACCGGAAGAGGUCAGUGGAACUGCGAGUGUAGAGGUGAAAUUCGUAGAUAUUCGCAAGAACACCCGUGGCGAAGGCGGCUCUCUGGGACGGUACUGACGCUGAGACGCGAAAGCGUGGGGAGCGAACAGG
rnacentral:rRNA from 1 species